UACGGGGGGGGCAAGCGUUGUUCGGAAUUACUGGGCGUAAAGGGCUCGUAGGCGGCCAACUAAGUCAGACGUGAAAUCCCUCGGCUUAACCGGGGAACUGCGUCUGAUACUGGAUGGCUUGAGUGUGGGAGAGGGAUGCGGAAUUCCAGGUGUAGCGGUGAAAUGCGUAGAGAUCCGGAGGAACACCGAAGGCGAAGGCAGUGUCCUGGCGAGUGACUGACGCUGAGGUGCGAAAGCCAAGGGAGCGAACGGG
rnacentral:rRNA from 1 species